ACACUCCUACGGGAGGCAGCAGUGGGGAAUUUUGGACAAUGGGCGAAAGCCUGAUCCAGCAAUGCCGCGUGUGUGAAGAAGGCCUUCGGGUUGUAAAGCACUUUUGUCCGGAAAGAAAUCCUUGGCUCUAAUACAGUCGGGGGAUGACGGUACCGGAAGAAUAAGCACCGGCUAACUACGUGCCAGCAGCCGCGGUAAUACGUAGGGUGCGAGCGUUAAUCGGAAUUACUGGGCGUAAAGCGUGCGCAGGCGGUUUGCUAAGACCGAUGUGAAAUCCCCGGGCUCAACCUGGGAACUGCAUUGGUGACUGGCAGGCUAGAGUAUGGCAGAGGGGGGUAGAAUUCCACGUGUAGCAGUGAAAUGCGUAGAGAUGUGGAGGAAUACCGAUGGCGAAGGCAGCCCCCUGGGCCAAUACUGACGCUCAUGCACGAAAGCGUGGGGAGCAAACAGGAUUAGAAACCCCUGUAGUCCCAUG
rnacentral:rRNA from 1 species